AGAGUUGUAUCCUGGCUCAGGAUGAACGCUAGCGGCAGGCCUAAUACAUGCAAGUCGAGGGAGAAGUUUUGUGCUUGCACAGAACGGAAACCGGCGAACGGGUGCGUAACACGUAUGCAACCUACCUAUAACUGGGGGAUAGCCCGAAGAAAUUCGGAUUAAUACCCUAUAAUAUUUACUUACCGCAUGGUAAGUAUCUUAAAACUCCGGUGGUUAUAGAUGGGCAUGCGGCUUAUUAGUUUGUUGGUGAGGUAACGGCUCACCAAGACUACGAUAAGUAGGGGGUCUGAGAGGAUGAUCCCCCACACUGGUACUGAGACACGGACCAGACUCCUACGGGAGGCAGCAGUAGGGAAUAUUGGACAAUGGACGAAAGUCUGAUCCAGCCAUGCCGCGUGCAGGAUGACGGCCCUAUGGGUUGUAAACUGCUUUUAUAUAGGAAGAAACCUUUCCACGUGUGGAAAGCUGACGGUACUAUACGAAUAAGGACCGGCUAACUCCGUGCCAGCAGCCGCGGUAAUACGGAGGGUCCAAGCGUUGUCCGGAUUUAUUGGGUUUAAAGGGUACGUAGGCGGGACUUUAAGUCAGUGGUGAAAGCCUCCAGCUUAACUGGAGAAUUGCCAUUGAAACUGAAGUUCUUGAGUAUGGAUGAGGUGGUUGGAAUAUAACAUGUAGCGGUGAAAUGCAUAGAUAUGUUAUAGAACACCAAUUGCGAAGGCAGAUCACUAAACCAUUACUGACGCUGAGGUACGAAAGCGUGGGGAGCGAACAGGAUUAGAUACCCUGGUAGUCCACGC
rnacentral:rRNA from 1 species